UGAAGCGUGGCCACAACAGCCGGCGUCGUGCAACCGUCGAAUCAAAUUAUGUCCGUUAAGUGUUGGUUCUAGUUCUAAAGUUUAUUCAAAUAAAGUGGCAUAAACGUCAGUCCAGCACACACACACUCCAGCAGAUGACGCGAACUACCUACUUUCGCCCAAAUUGUUCGUCCAAGAAGAAAUGGACUUUAUUGUAACAGGCGAGGCCUGAAUGGUGCCCUGUUCUAUGGCUUACUGCAUUUUCAGAACUGUGCGUGUGACUGAUUGGGACCAACGAAAUUAGCAGCCCGACAUCUUGCACUCGUCAUUCAGCUACAGAUUUUGCGCAGGAAUUUUCUUUGGAAGACUUGGAGAUCAACACACCAUUACAAACUGAAGACAGGCGCUUAAAGAGGUCACCAAACAAGCUACAAAGAAGAAAAUACGGGAACUAAACAACAAUCGGGCAAGCUGGAGCAGAAAGACUCGAUCCGAACGGACACGCAUCAUGCGUUGCAAAUCUUGGAUGCAACCGAGCAAACGUAGAUGAGAGACUUCGAUAAAGCCGAAUCAGAUCAACCCAAAUCGAGGCACAAUUUUGUUUCUGUCUCUCUCUUUCCCGACUGCCAAGGAUCACCGCAGGUUCGAGAACCCGUUCCACCUAUAACACAAUUCC